rnacentral:rRNA from 1 species
GACGAACGCUGGCGGCGUGCUUAACACAUGCAAGUCGAACGAAGAGCGACGGAAGCUUGCUUCUAUCAAUCUUAGUGGCGCACGGGUGAGUAACGCGUAAUCAACCUGCCCUUCAGAGGGGGACAACAGUUGGAAACGACUGCUAAUACCGCAUACGAUCUAAUCUCGGCAUCGAGGAUGGAUGAAAGGUGGCCUCUACAUGUAAGCUAUCACUGAAGGAGGGGAUUGCGUCUGAUUAGCGAGUUGGAGGGGUAACGGCCCACCAAGGCGAUGAACAGUAGGCGGUCUUAGAGGAUGAACGGGCAAAUUGGGACUGAGACACGGCCCAGACUUCUACGGGAGGCAGCAGUGGGGAAACUUCCGCAAUGGACGAAAGUCUGACGGAGCAACGCCGCGUGAGUGAUGACGGCCUUCGGGUUGUAAAGCUCGGUUAAUCGGGACGAAAGGCCUUCUUGCGAAUAGCGAGGAGGAUUGACGGUACCGGAAGAGAAAGCCACGGCUAACUACGUG